UCAAGCUCUUUGUAUUCCUCACACGGCGUCUCUCCGCGGCCAUGGUAACACUGCUCCCAAUACAGACUUCUGCUUCUAUUAAUCUACAUUAACAAGAGCUUUACAUGCAGCUGUUAUUCAACAUGAAUCUGGCAGACAUAUGUGACAAUGCCAAGAAGGGCCGUGAGUAUGCUCUGCUGGGGAACUAUGACUCCUCCAUCGUGUACUACCAAGGUGUCAUUCAGCAGAUUCAUAAGCAUUGUCAGUCCCUCAGAGACCCUGCACUUAAAGUCAAGUGGCAACAGGUCAGACAGGAGCUGACUGAGGAGUAUGAGCAGGUCAAGGGAAUCAUGGGAACACUUGAGAGCUUUAAGUCAGAGAAGCCAGUCGAUAUCCUUACCCCUCAGUUAGAGGAGAAAGUUGAGGACCCAGCAGUGUGGCCCCCUCCCACACCAGCAGAACACAGAAAUCCUGUUGCAGUGAAACGUCCUAAUAGUGCCGUGAAGCAGCAGCAGAAGAAGGACUCCCCUGCUAUGCAACAUCGAGGGGCGGGGCCUGUUAGCCGUGGUCAGGGCAACCCUAAAAGUGAACGGCCGGGAUAUAAAGAUGCCCGAGGGACCAAGGCCAAAGAUGAUAAGCAAACAAAGAAAGGGUCUGGAGAGACACCAGGGGAUGUAGAGCAGAAAAAGUUUGAUGGCACAGGAUACGACAGUGACCUGGUAGACUCACUGGAGAGAGAUAUUGUAUCCCGGAACCCUAAUGUACACUGGGAUGACAUUGCUGAUCUGGAAGAUGCUAAGAAGCUGCUGAGAGAAGCAGUCGUGUUACCCAUGUGGAUGCCUGACUUCUUCAAGGGCAUUCGUCGCCCCUGGAAGGGUGUAUUGAUGGUGGGUCCUCCAGGCACAGGGAAGACCAUGUUAGCCAAAGCUGUGGCCACAGAAUGUGGGACUACUUUCUUCAACGUGUCCUCCUCCACGCUCACAUCCAAAUACAGGGGCGAGUCUGAAAAACUUGUCCGUCUGCUGUUUGAAAUGGCCCGGUUUUACGCACCAACAACGAUCUUCAUAGAUGAGAUCGACUCCAUCUGUGGGAGAAGAGGGACAUCUGAUGAACACGAAGCCAGCCGCAGGGUCAAAUCAGAACUGUUGAUUCAAAUGGAUGGUGUGGGAGGAGCCCUGGAGAAUGAUGACCCUUCUAAGAUGGUAAUGGUCCUCGCUGCCACCAACUUCCCCUGGGACAUUGACGAGGCAUUACGGCGACGCCUAGAGAAACGUAUCUACAUCCCCCUGCCCACAGCUUCUGGUCGAGUAGAGCUUCUAAAGAUCAACCUGAGGGAGGUGGAGCUGGCUGCUGACGUGGACCUGGACCUCAUUGCCGAAAAGAUAGAGGGUUACUCUGGAGCUGACAUCACCAACGUCUGCAGGGAUGCAUCGAUGAUGGCUAUGCGUCGUCGUAUCCAAGGCCUGAGCCCCGAGGAGAUCCGAGCUCUGUCUAAAGAUGAGCUGCAGAUGCCUGUGACCAUGGAGGACUUCACCCUCACACUCAAGAAGAUCUCAAAGUCUGUCUCUGCUGCUGAUUUGGAAAAAUACGAAGCCUGGAUGGCAGAAUUUGGGUCCGUAUAGAGACAGCGUAAGCUCACGUGGAACAGGAUGUUUAAAGGUACGCUUGGAGAGGAUGGAGUAUGCAUCUCAAAAGGAAUGAGAUGAUACUGGACUGUUGACUUUGCACCAUCCUUUCCAUAUCCCCUUGCUAGUUACCCUGACCAUCAGUCAUUCAGCUGCUGAGUAAAGAAUGGGAUGACCCCUUCUCCUACAUUGAACUUUUAAUAUAAGAAGUAGCCUGACAUACAGACACGGGUAGAAAAGCGCACUAGUCACACUUACAUAUUGUCUUAAAAUGUAAAUUGUAUGUUUGAGCACUUUUAUCAUAUUCCUCCCAGGAGCUGAUGUAUUUACUACUGACUGAUCACACUUGAAGAACCACAUCGUCUGUGUUACUGUAUGUAGCGACGGCUCAUUUGUUUGUGUUAUUUUUUGUUGUUGUUGGUUUAAAUAUGUGUUUGCAAUUUAACUUAUGUUUAGACAGAAAAAUGUAGUCAAGCUGGAAGUGGCCACCAGGUUUGUGGAUUGUUCAUUAAAGAAACAAAGAUGUAGGCAGAAUGAUGAAGAUCUAUAUUAUUGGAUUUUAUCACUUUCUUCAUUAUUCGGACUAUUGACUCAGUUUACCUUCAGGCAGAGAUGGUGCGGUGUGUUGAGUGAGAAGAGAAACACGCUGAAUCUGUACGGAAUCUGUUCUUCCUGGACGUUU